GCUCUCGUGGCGGAAUCGGUAGACGCGCUAGAUUCAGGAUCUAGUGGGGAGACCCGUGGAGGUUCGAAUCCUCUCGAGAGCA
rnacentral:tRNA from 1 species